CAAGUGGUGGAGCAUGUGGUUUAAUUCGAUGAUACGCGAGGAACCUUACCUAGGCUAGAAUGCGCGUGACCGGCUCAGAGAUGAGCCUUUCCUUCGGGACACAAAGCAAGGUGCUGCAUGGCCGUCGUCAGCUCGUGCCGUGAGGUGUUGGGUUAAGUCCCGCAACGAGCGCAACCCCUAUGGUUAGUUGCCAGCACGUAAUGGUGGGGACUCUAGCCAGACUGCCUGCGCAAGCAGUGAGGAAGGCGGGGACGACGUCAGGUCAUCAUGGCCCUUACGCCUAGGGCGACACACGUGCUACAAUGGACGGUACAGCGGGUAGCUACACAGCGAUGUGACGCCAAUCUCGAAAAGCCGUUCUCAGUUCGGAUCGGAGUCUGCAACUCGACUCCGUGAAGCUGGAAUCACUAGUAAUCGCGCAUCAGCCAUGGCGCGGUGAAUACGUUCCCGGGCCUUGUACACA
rnacentral:rRNA from 1 species